rnacentral:rRNA from 1 species
CCUACGGGGGGCAGCAGUGGGGAAUAUUGGACAAUGGGCGAAAGCCUGAUCCAGCCAUGCCGCGUGUGUGAAGAAGGCCUCCGGGUUGUAAAGCACUUUCAGUGGGGAAGAAAGCCUUGGGGCUAAUACCCUCGAGGAAGGACAUCACCCACAGAAGAAGCACCGGCUAACUCCGUGCCAGCAGCCGCGGUAAUACGGAGGGUGCGAGCGUUAAUCGGAAUUACUGGGCGUAAAGCGCGCGUAGGCGGUCUGAUAAGCCGGUUGUGAAAGCCCCGGGCUCAACCUGGGAACGGCAUCCGGAACUGUCAGGCUAGAGUGCAGGAGAGGAAGGUAGAAUUCCCGGUGUAGCGGUGAAAUGCGUAGAGAUCGGGAGGAAUACCAGUGGCGAAGGCGGCCUUCUGGACUGACACUGACGCUGAGGUGCGAAAGCGUGGGUAGCAAACAGGAUUAGAUACCCCAGUAGUC